rnacentral:rRNA from 1 species
GUCCACGCCGUAAACGAUGGGCACUAGGUGUGGGAGGUGUCGACUCCUCCCGUGCCGGAGCUAACGCAUUAAGUGCCCCGCCUGGGGAGUACGGCCGCAAGGCUAAAACUCAAAGGAAUUGACGGGGACCCGCACAAGCAGCGGAGCAUGUGGUUUAAUUCGACGCAACGCGAAGAACCUUACCUGGGUUUGACAUGUUCCUGACCGCCCUGGAAACAGGGCUUCCCUUAUGGGCAGGAUCACAGGUGGUGCAUGGCUGUCGU